GACGAACGCUGGCGGCGCGCUUAACACAUGCAAGUCGAACGGAAAGGCCUGCUUUCCCUUGUGGAUUGCGGGUACUCGAGUGGCGAACGGGUGAGUAACACGUGAGUGAUCUGCCCCCAACUUGGGUAUAAGCCUGGGAAACUGGGUCUAAUUCCCGAUAGGACUGCAGGGUGGUGCCUGUGGUGGAAAACGAUUUUCUAGUGGUUGGGGAUGAGCUCGCGGCCUAUCAGCUUGUUGGUGGGGUAAUGGCCUACCAAGGCGGCGACGGGUAGCCGGCCUGGGAGGGUGGACGGCCACAUCGGGACUGAGAUACGGCCCAGACUCCUACGGGAGGCAGCAGUGGGGAAUAUUGCACAAUGGGCGGAAGCCUGAUGCAGCGACGCCGCGUGGGGGAUGACGGCCUUCGGGUUGUAAACUCCUUUCGACCGCGAGGAAGCCACCUGGUUGGAAGGGUGGUGACGGUAGUGGUAGAAGAAGCACCGGCUAACUACGUG
rnacentral:rRNA from 1 species